rnacentral:tRNA from 2 species
CGAGGUGUGGCUCAGUUUGGCUAGAGCGCCACGUUAGGGACGUGGAGGCCGCUGGUUCAAGUCCAGUCACCUCGA